UUUGACUUGCAGUUUCCACCA
rnacentral:piRNA from 1 species